rnacentral:lncRNA from 1 species
UGCACAUUAUUUUACUCACCCUUGGGUUUGCCUUAGUGGCAAUGUGGUGAAAACAUAUUAAAACAGAGACAUCAAAGUAUAUAUGAUGACAAGAAGUUCAUCUCUGUGUCGGGGUUAUUGUAAAGCAACAAGAAUUCUCACCAAAAUGCUUAAAAUAGCUCUCAAACUGAGAAAAGAUCAAGUCAAUAUAAGAAAGGAAGAAGUGAAAAACCACAAUUUCAUUUUUAUUUGAUGGUUUUCUGCAUGAUGAUUGAAGUUCUAUAAUUUUUUAAAAAAUUUUAAGUGCUCCAUUCACCAUUGGUUCUAUCCUCCCUGGGCAAGCAAUUGGCUCAUUUCAAAGACUCAUCUUGUUAAGCAUACAACUGUGAACUACUUGAAAACAAAAGCU